rnacentral:rRNA from 1 species
GACAUAGGGUGCAAACGUUGUUCGGAAUUACUGGGCGUAAAGCGCGUGUAGGCGGCGUAGCAAGUCGGGCGUGAAAGCCCACGGCUCAACCGUGGAAGAGCACUCGAAACUGCUGCGCUAGAGUUCUGGAGAGGAAGGCGGAAUGCUUGGUGUAGAGGUGAAAUUCGUAGAUAUCAAGCGGAACACCGGUGGCGAAGGCGGCCUUCUGGACAGUGACUGACGCUGAAACGCGAAAGCGUGGGGAGCAAACAGG